CAUGCAGUCGACGAUGAUCCCAGCUUGCUGGGGGAUUAGUGGCGAACGGGUGAGUAACACGUGAGUAACCUGCCCUUAACUCUGGGAUAAGCCUGGGAAACUGGGUCUAAUACCGGAUAUGACUCCUCAUCGCAUGGUGGGGGGUGGAAAGCUUUUUGUGGUUUUGGAUGGACUCGCGGCCUAUCAGCUUGUUGGUGAGGUAAUGGCUCACCAAGGCGACGACGGGUAGCCGGCCUGAGAGGGUGACCGGCCACACUGGGACUGAGACACGGCCCAGACUCCUACGGGAGGCAGCAGU
rnacentral:rRNA from 1 species